UGUGUGUGUGUGUGUGUACGUAUAUAUAUAUCUAUAUAUAUAUAUAGAUAUAUAUAUACGUACACACACACACUCACA